UGCACACACAAAACCUUCUGUGGCUCAAAACCACAGAAUCACAGCCUAUCUGCAGGCAACUCACAGAACUGCCAAAUCCUGUUAGUGAUAAGAAAAAGCAUUCAGUGAUGAAAGAAUAGUUAGCAGUUCCACUCAGCUCGCUCUAGCUCAGCUCCACGCUACUCUCUGCAGCAGCUUCACAUUGGCUCCAUGGCCGUCGACAAGCCUUCCGGUUCCCCCAAGCAACUGCAGUGAGGCUUUGAAAUAAAGGGGAAAACAGAGAGACAACAUCCAGUGCUGGUGGCAGACAGCAACUUUACCUCUUCGUUCUUCACAAAGACUGAAGCCACUUUUCAGGACCCCGAAGAGCUAGGAUUAGAAUUACAGGUGUCUGCUCUUUCCCCAAUCUGUGGCAUGCUGGGGGGCAAAACAGCACCUCGUGCUGCCAGAGAAGCAGCCAGCCUAGUGCUGAGCUUCGUCCUCAGCUCCUACACAAGGUCUUCAAAGGCCACCGCAGAACAGAACAGAGGGCAGCAGAGACGGGCCUGGAAGAGAGCCCUGAAAGAAAGUCCCCACCAGAGGGGGCUUUUGCCUAUGUGUGUGCCUGUGCUCUUCCUGGAUGCCUGGUAUCUGAGGAGUCUAGAAGAGUGCAUCAGUUUCCCUGGAACUGAAGCUACAGACGGUUGUGAACCUCCAUGUAUUUUUGUCGCAGCAACAAGACAAAUACCUAGUACAGAAAACUGGUACAGAGAAAUGGACUGCUGCCAUGAUAAACCUGGCCUCUG
rnacentral:lncRNA from 1 species